UCCUCGAGAACUUGAUUUGAGGUAAAACCUGCUCUAUGCCCUAUACCAGGUUAAUGGCCGCAGUAUUUUGACUGUGCGAAGGUAGCAUAAUAAUUUGGCUAUUAAUUGUGGUCUGGAAUGAAUGGUUUGACGAGGUUGUGACUGUCUUAAUUUGAUAAUUUUGAAUUUGAAUUGUGGGUAAAAAUGCCAAUAUGAUUUAGGGGGACGAGAAGACCCUAUAGAUCUUAAAUCAAACUUUUGAAUUCAUAAGGAAUGAUUUUAUUUGGGAUGAAUCUUAAAAUUAGAAAACUUUGGUUAGUUUGUUAGAAAAGGUUAAAUAACCUACUAUUGACCCAGUGUUGCUGGAAGGAUGAGAAAGUUACCUUAGGGAUAACAGGACAAUAAUUUUUCAGGAGAGCUUAUUUUGGAGAAUGUUUGUUACCUCGAUGUUGAAUUAAGUUUACUAUUGGAAGCAGAAAUCCAAAAAGUUAGUCUGUUCGACUAUUAAAUAC
rnacentral:rRNA from 1 species